AACCCCCCUCCUUCGUCUCUCAUCUCCUCAGAGACGACCCUGUUUCACUGCCUCAUUCCGCCCGCCGGAAAUCGUCCACGGCGGCGGAAGGUGGCCAAUCACCCCUAAAAAUACACCCCAGAACCCCAUCGCACCCUUCUUUCCAAAUCCAUGACUCGUUUCCCUCGAAUCGUGUCAGAACUCGUUGAAUAUUUGAUUGAAGUUCGGACCCCUGAACCCUAGCCUAUCCAAUCACCCUCAUCUUUAUACCAUAGAACCACCCCGAGCCCCUCUUUCCAAAUCCAUGACUGUUUUCCCUCGAAUAUUCCCCGAACUCGUCAAAUUUUGGAUCGAAGAUAAGACCUAAAAAUGUCAAAACUCCAAAAUCGGUAGAUUUGGUGAUGAUUAAGACCAAAACGGACCUCAGUCAUGUAUUUUCAUCUGAGAACACGUGAUUGAGAUCUCUUUCGGUCGAAAUUGAGAGUUUGAAGAAGAAAUUCAAAGCUGGCCAUUUUUGCUAGGUAUUUUUAUUCAUUAAAAUGGUAUUGCACGAUUUUGUUUGUUAUUUUUAUUUUCAUUUUAGUCUUUGUUGUAUCCGCCUUUCUUUUCUUCAUUAUAGACUCACAUAUUAGUCCGUCAAUUACAUGAUUAAUUUAAUAGCAUGUUUAAUUCAUUAGUUUCUAUUAUUUAGUUCGUCAUCAUCUGUUCCUUCGCCCCUGUUUCUUUGUAAAAGUUUCUUGUUUUGUUUGAAAUGGGUUUCUGGAUGGUGCUCAAUGGGGAUUACAGAUUUAUGGGUUCUGAAUUGGGUCAACUUGAGCCAUUUUGGCUUUGAUUCUAGGGUUAGUUUCAGGGUUGUAAGGAUAGCUUGAGAAUUAUUUAAUAAAAGGAGCAGUCACCUAAUUAAGAAGCUUCUAUAGUGGUAGGGUUUAGAUUUCAAUUGAGUGGAAUCGAAUUUUUAAAUGUUGAAAGGCACUCUGUGAAUCCUAAAGGCAUUUCCCAUUGCCUAUUUAAGGAAACAACACACUAAGAAAAGGAAAAAAAGGCGGGUACUCUGAAAUACAUAGAUUCUGAUACUCUGAAAUACAUAAAUUCUGAUAUUCUGAAAUACUGAGAAGAAAAAAGAGAUUCUGAAAAAAACAAGAAAAAAAAUAGGAAGAGGAGAGGACGUUCUGAAAAAUACAAAAAAUAAUGAAGAGCCAAGAAAUCCUGAAAAUAAAAAAAACAACUGUAAACUCUGCAGAAAACACUGUUCCAUUGAGUUUUUUUUAGUUUGUACUUCAUUUUUGAGUUAAAGAUCUUUCUGUUGGUCUGCUCUUCGAUUGCUGGGGUUCUACUGCUGCUGCUGUUUAUUACUGUUUCACCUCUUACCUUCCCUUUCUUCAAAUUCCAGGUACUUUCCUGCACCUCAUGGAUAUAUGAGAUUAGAAGAAUUUGAAAUCAUAUUGCUGGGCCACAGCUUGUGUCAUGUCGAUUUGCCUUUUACAUGUUAUAUUCUAGCUAUAGUUCCCUGAUCGAUUCCUAGCAUAUAUAACCUUUUGUCAUAUAAUUCUUAGUUGUUGCAAUUUUUGCCUUAAAGUUCAUUUGUAAAUAAGC
rnacentral:lncRNA from 1 species